GGUGAACGCUGGCGGCGUGCUUAAGACAUGCAAGUCGAACGCGGUCUUCGGACCGAGUGGCGCACGGGUGAGUAACACGUAACUGACCUACCCAGAAGUCAUGAAUAACUGGCCGAAAGGUCAGCUAAUACGUGAUGUGGUGAUUUGCCGUGGCAAAUCACUAAAGAUUUAUCGCUUCUGGAUGGGGUUGCGUUCCAUCAGCUGGUUGGUGGGGUAAAGGCCUACCAAGGCGACGACGGAUAGCCGGCCUGAGAGGGUGGCCGGCCACAGGGGCACUGAGACACGGGUCCCACUCCUACGGGAGGCAGCAGUUAGGAAUCUUCCACAAUGGGCGCAAGCCUGAUGGAGCGACGCCGCGUGAGGGAUGAAGGUUUUCGGAUCGUAAACCUCUGAAUCUGGGACGAAAGAGCCUUCGGGCAGAUGACGGUACCAGAGUAAUAGCACCGGCUAACUCCGUGCCAGCCGCCGCCGUAAAAC
rnacentral:rRNA from 1 species